UAAGACCACCAUACCACCCUGAAUGCACCAGUCCUUUUUUAAUUUCAAAAGCUAAGCAAGAUUGGGCUGAUUAGUACUUGGAAGGCAGACUAUUAGAAAGUAACAGGGAUCUCCA
rnacentral:rRNA from 1 species